UCCCUGCAGCGGGCUCCAUCUCCAGGCCUCCCACUUCACCCUGGGACAUUAUGGUCGCUGGUCAGACCUCAUGACUCACUUGGACUCUUGAGCCACCUCUGGGGGUGGAGUCUCUCUCCUGGCAUCUGGACCCUUGGUGCUAUCGACGAAGCUUGGCUGGCGCUCUUAGCUGCUAUGUGCAAGACGUGUGUCCCAGGGAAAGCCCCUCUCUCUCUGCAGAGGUCAAGUGAAAGCCACGGCCGCAGCCAACAGAGUUCAAAAUGCAGGCUUGGAAAGUCCAGGGGGCUCUGUGGAGGUGAGACAGCCACAGGCUGAGCUUUCUGAGCCCUUGGGGAUGGGAAGGACUGAUCCACAUUCCCACCAGGAAGUUUAGCAGAACCCCCGCGUGCCACCUGGACCCCUUGGAAGGACCUGGCUCAGGCUGGACCACCUCUUGAGAGGCAGGAGCUCUGGAUUUGAUCAAGAAUUCUUUGCUGAGCAUGGUGCCUCAUGCCUAUAAUCCCAACACUUUGGGAGGCCAGUGUGGGAGGAUCUCUUGAGCCCAGGAGUUCAAGACUAGCCUGGGCAACACAGAGAGACCCCAUCUCUAAAAUAAUAAUAAUAAUAAAAUAAAAAAUUAGCAGGGCAUGGUGGCAUGUGCCUGUAGUCCCAGCUACCCAGGAGGCUGAGGCAAGAGGAUGGCUGGAGCCUGGGAUGUUGAGGCUGCAAUGAACUGUGAUUACCCCACUGCACUCCAGCCUGGGCAAAAGAGCGAGAGACCCUGUCUCAAAUAAUAAUAAUAAUAAUAAUCUUAUUUUGGAGAAUAAAGAGACCUCUGGAUUUGAGGUGCCAUUUGGGUAGAAAGAAAAGACGUUUACACCGAGAAAUAGUCUGUGUUGCCCUGAAGGAGCAGAGGGAUGCAUCGCUGGAGGUGACCUACAGUUGAAGAAGACUCAUUAUGACAGACCUUGUCCUUCUUCCUUGUGGAAAGUGUUUCCUCUGCUGCUACUGCUCAUGAGACUCUUCCCCCUCCCUGUCCCAGGGAACCAAAGGGCUUUCUACCACACCCUUUCUUGCCCCCCGCCUCCCAUGUCUGCUGUGCCUUUGUACUCAGCAAUUCUUGUUUGCUCCAUUAUCUUCCAGCCGGAUACAGAGUGAAUAGUUAACCACACUUAGGUCAAAUAGGAUCUAAAUUUUUGUUCCUGCUCCGUGUAAAGAGGCCAGUGUUUGUGUGUUGCAAGCAGCCUUGGAAUAGUAACUCUUCUCAUUUGUUUGGGAUCUGGCCACCAAGUUCCAGAAUGAUACACGGAUCAGUGCAGAAGUUCAUCAGGCUCUCGGACCUUAGGGCUGUUGGAGAAGGCUUCAGCAGCAGAACUGAUGGUGAAGGCUCGUGUUCUCCAUCCUCAACUUUCUUUGCUUCGAUCAUACACAAGAAUACAUUUGGAAGGGCAAAAAAUGAACACUGUCGUUCAUUGCAGCCGUGUUUUGUGACACAGAUGCACAGUCUGCUGUGAAGACCUUCUCUCAAGUGGCAUUUGGGAGUCCAUGCCAGAUCAUGGUGCUUCAUGAGAGACUGACAGCUAUCAGGGGUUGUGGCACUUAGUGAGGACUCUCCUCCCCCAGUGUGUGCUGAUGACACAUACACACCUGACAAUAGCUUGAGUCUUCUCUGUUCCUUUUACUCUGUAGCCAACAUACACAUGAUUUAAAACCCUUUCUAAAUAUCUAUCAUGGUUCAUCCUUGUCCAAAUGCAGAGUCAGAGCUAUUUGUACUUCAUUAUUAUUUCCAAGGCGAAUAGUUGGCUUUCUUUUUGCAAAAAUAAUUAAAGUUUUUGUAUGUUGCA
ensembl:lncRNA LINC00511 long intergenic non-protein coding RNA 511